AGCUGUAGUUUGACUCCGUGGCUCGAGAUUAGAACGCGUGGCGGAAUGACUUUACACAUGCAAGUCGAACGGUAGAGGGGGCAACCCCUUGAGAGUGGCGAACGGGUGAGUAAUAUAUCGGAACGUGCCCAGUCGUGGGGAUAACGUAGUGAAAAUUACGCUAAUACCGCAUACGAUCUAUGGAUGAAAGCGGGGGAUCGCAAGACCUCGCGCGAUUGGAGCGGCCGAUAUCAGAUUAGGUAGUUGGUGGGUAAAGGCUCACCAAGCCAACGAUCUGUAGCUGGUCUGAGAGGACGACCAGCCACACUGGAACUGAGACACGGUCCAGACUCUACGGGGAGCAGCGAGUGGGGAAUUUUCCGCAAUGGGCGCAAGCCUGACGAGCAACG
rnacentral:rRNA from 1 species